rnacentral:rRNA from 1 species
GAUGAACGCUGGCGGCGUGCCUAAUACAUGCAAGUCGAGCGAACGGACGAGAAGCUUGCUUUUCUGAUGUUAGCGGCGGACGGGUGAGUAACACGUGGAUAACCUACCUAUAAGACUGGGAUAACUUCGGGAAACCGGAGCUAAUACCGGAUAAUAUUUUGAACCGCAUGGUUCAAAAGUGAAAGACGGUCUUGCUGUCACUUAUAGAUGGAUCCGCGCUGCAUUAGCUAGUUGGUAAGGUAACGGCUUACCAAGGCAACGAUGCAUAGCCGACCUGAGAGGGUGAUCGGCCACACUGGAACUGAGACACGGUCCAGACUCCUACGGGAGGCAGCAGUAGGGAAUCUUCCGCAACGGGCGAAAGCCUGACGGAGCAACGCCGCGUGAGUGAUGAAGGUCUUCGGAUCGUAAAACUCUGUUAUUAGGGAAGAACAUACGUGUAAGUAACUGUGCACAUCUUGACGGUACCUAAUCAGAAAGCCACGGCUAACUACGUG